UGCCGCGACAAGCGGUCCGGGCGCCCUUCGGGGGCCCGGCGGAGACGGGCGCCGGAGGUGUCCGACGCCUGCUCGUACCCAUCUUGCUCAGUGGAGGAUUUGGCUAUGAGGA
rfam:Bradyrhizobium japonicum heat shock protein GroES1 (groES1), heat shock protein GroEL1 (groEL1), small heat shock protein HspA (hspA), sigma32-like factor RpoH1 (rpoH1), small heat shock protein HspB (hspB), and small heat shock protein Hsp